UUAAACACAAAAGUGGAUGGAUGAAUGGAGUUGUUGGGGGUUUACAAUUUCAUCUUAUCCUCUCUCUCUUAUUUACUCCUCUUGAUUUAUUAGCUUGAUUAAUUAAUUGUCAUGCAACUUUCUUAGCCUACCCUUAACCCAAUCCCUCGGCGAAAAGAGCCUAAUACUAAUUACUGGCUUGCUAUCCCUAGCCUCCCCU
rnacentral:lncRNA from 1 species